UGACAGAUUUCCGUAUAUUAAACCAUCC
rnacentral:piRNA from 1 species